AUUACGAGCAAUGCUUAAAACCCAAAGGAUUUGACGGUGUCCCACCCAACUAGAGGAGCCUGUUCUAUAAUCGAUGAUCCCCGCUUCACCUAACCACCCCUCGCCUUCAGUCUGUAUACCUUCGUCGAAAGCUUACCAUGUGAACGCCGCAGUAGGAUUAAGGACCCCCCGUCAAUACGUGAGGUCAAGGUGCAGCUUAAGGGGUGGCAAGUAAUGGGCUACAAUUUCUAAUCUAGAACAAACGAAAGACUAUGUGAAACCCUAGUCAUGAAGGUGGAUUUAGUAGUAAAAAGAAAGCAGAGUUGUUCUUUUUAACCCGGCUCUGGGACGCGUACACACCGCCCGUCACCCUCUUCGAUAGUACCGGACCUGUUCAUAACCCAACAUCACGUUUUAGAAGAGGCAAGUCGUAACAUGGUAA
rnacentral:rRNA from 1 species